UUGUGCUUAUGAGAGCUCGUCGUCUGCAGUUGAAUUUUCGGCUACAGGAGGAAGGAAAAUAUUGCUUAAAAUCGAUUUUUACACUUUUUCGAAUAAUCCGUUUUACUUGGAUUUUUUACCUCACGCCUUUUUCACAGAAACGGCUUCUCGCUCAAAAGGCAAGCCGGGACAGUGAGUCGUUUAGCGGCCCAUGCAGCCAUAACGAGUUCGUGGUCCAGCAUCAGCUCACUGGAGGAGCAUCUCUGACCCCUACUCCUUAUAAUCAGCCCAGAGACCCACUUAAAGGUCUGUUUGGAGCGUGGGUUUGUUCCUACACUUUCACCAAACCUCCAUCUGUCUCUAACUCCACCUGCCCAGUAGGGGGCUGACCACUCAUUGGACACCCCAAAACAUGUCCUCCAUCUUGCCUUUCACCCCGCCCGUGGUAAAGCGUCUUCUGGGCUGGAAGAAGUCAGCCAGUGGGUCGAGUGGAGCAGGAGGGGGAGGAGAACAGAAUGGCCAGGAGGAGAAAUGGUGCGAGAAGGCUGUCAAAAGUCUAGUGAAGAAGCUGAAGAAAACGGGUCAACUGGACGAGCUGGAGAAAGCCAUCACAACACAGAACUGCAACACCAAGUGUGUCACUAUCCCCAGGUACGCCAGCAACAGAACACCUCACUAGUUUGCUUUUCUUGAUCAGUGUUGUCUUACAUUUUCGCUUUGCAAUUUUUAAUGUUUACAGUUUAAAACUUAAAGUUGUAGUUCACCUGAAUAUAAAAUUGUCAUUUACUCAUCCUCAUGUAAUUCCAAACCCAUAUGCUGUUGUUUUAAUUGUUUUUUGUAAAAAAAUUCAAAAUCACAGCAAGCAAAAUUUAGGUAAUCCUUCUGCACAUAUGUAGGUAUUCUAGACAUACAGUAGCUUUGUGCGAGGGGCAUGCAAAAAUAUUUUCCCUUUGCUGAAGCUCAGGAAUAUUAUUUGCGUCCACAUGUGGAAAUAGCUUGACAUCAAUCGUCAUCGGUUCCAGGCCCAACGGGAUAUAUGCAUGAUAGGUAAUGACAUUUAAGAGCUGCUGCGAGGGGGGAAAGCUUUUUGUGAAUAAUGGCAGUAUUAGUCUUUCCUCACUUUACGGAGUCUGGAUGCAUGGACAUGUGUAUCCAUUUUAGAGCUUGACAGAGGUCAUCAUGGACAGUUGUUGUAUAGACAGGAAUUGCAAAAGCUGCUGUGGAAAAGAGCAUGCCCUUUGAAAUAGUGACGGUACCAAAACCCAGUGUUAAAUGGGCCCUGGAGCUAAAUUAUAAACGACUGGAGUGUCGAUAACAUCCCCACUUAUCGGUUCUGCUUUCGGUACGUGAAAUAAAAAAAAACACACUUAUUAUGAAGUAAACUUUAUCUUGCGCAUUUUCUCUCAUCAACAAUUUCUAAUUUGAUGCUUGUUCGCUAUUCCCAAUUUUGCAGAGCGCACGUACUUGUGCCUGGCUCAGCACUGCAAAUCUCCACGCUUGCGUCUCCCAAAAUGGACAAACGUUUAAACAGUGUUUCCUACAGGAUUUAGUGAAACUAUACCGCUGGAUGGCAUCACACGCUAAUUAACAUAUUUGUGAUGUUUUUGUGUCACAUUUGCGUUAAGACGAGUGUUGGCACUUUUUUCUGUUUUAAUUCUACUUUCUGAACUGUCACAUUCUGUAUUUUAAUACAGCUUAAUGCCCAAUAAAGGCAUUCUCAUUUGCAUAUUUUUUGUUUCUGUUGUCAGACGUGAAAGGCGUGUAAAAUAGUAAAUAAACGUGACAUUAUUACUACAACCAGCAGUCACUUUCUGAAUUGCUGAAGUCCUGAUUUAUAACCACAACAUUGUCUUGUCUGUUAAACGCACCAUACACCUACCUUAACAUAUGGCUGCACGAUUUUGGCCGUAUUACUUAUUUGUCUUAUGCAACGCACAACCUCCGUCUGGGUAAACUGUGCAUUUCUACAGUCGAACUAUGUUCAUGUUCAUACUCCAUAUCCAAACAGUCAGUAACACUGGCUUGCUUGGAAACACAGUUUUCUACUCAUUCCUAUAUGUUUAAGUUUCCCUACUGUAAUUUGAGUGCUGCUUCUCCCUGCUGCUCUCUCAAGCAAUCCUGCACCGGUCAAGCCAGGAUGUUAUAUAAAUGUUAUAUAAAGGUUAUAAAUUGAUCUACAUUUCAGUCAGUGAAAUAAGUAUUUGAUCCCAGAGAAAAAAUAACUUCGUACUUGGUGGAGAAACCCUUGUUUGCAAGCAGAGAGGUAAGACAUUUCUGAUAGUUGGUCACCAGGUUUGCACAUGUGUCAGGAUACAUUUUACUCCACUCCUCUGUCAAUCUUUAAGGGUUCUUGGCUGUCACUCAGUAAAUUGGAGUUUUAGCCUCCUUCACAGAUGUUCUAUAGGACUAGGGUCUAGAGACUGGCUAGGACAUUUAAUGUGCUUCUCCUUAAGCCACUCUUUGGUUGUCUUGGCAAUAUGUUUUGGGUCUUUGUCAUGUUAAAGGCACAUCCAUGACCCAUCUUCAGUGAUCUAGUUAAGGGGAGGAGGUUCUUGUCCAAGAUUUUACGGUACAUGGGCCUGUCCCUCAGCCCCUCAAUGCGGUGAAGUCAUCCUGUACCUGCAGCAGAGAUAAAAAGCCCUAAAGCAUAAUGUUUCCAACAAUGUGCUUCUCUGUAGGGAUGGUGUUCUUGGGGUCAUAGUCAGCAUUUCUCUCCCUCCAAAAACAGGAGUCAAUUUUGGUCUCACAGCAGUGCCAAAGCACUUUCGCCAAAGCCUUUUCUGAAUCAUUUUGAUGUUCAUUGUCAAACUUUAGACGAGCCAGGCGGGUCUUCUUGGGCAGGAGGACCUUGCGGGUGCUUCAGGAUUUCAAUCUAUUGUGGCAUAGCGUAGGGCUGUGCCGAUAAACGAUAUCAUAUCGAAUCGCGAUAGAAUGUAUUUCAAAAACGAUGACAAGCUAUUGGCAUUUUGACUCGAUAUGGAUUAAUCUUACAGUCUAACAGAACGCAGAAAUAAACGCAACAACAGUCAGUCAGUGUGCAGCUUUUAUCACGCGCGUCAAUGUACAAAGUCCAUUUCAUACUGCACUUGGCAAAGAAAACUCAACAUGGGGAGGAAAACAUGACUGGAAGCGGAAACAAAGGUGAAACUAACCUCGAGUUGUCAUCACACGGUUUAUCAAGUGUCUUAUUUUUUUCGCAAUCGCCGGUUAAACAAAACAAACUUGAGGCGCAAUUGCAAGCACGUUACUUCGAAACUCAAGCACAAACGUUUUUAUAUCCAUCGUUAACAUAUCUGCUAACAUGAGCUGGUGCUUAUGAAACAAACCAGCGCUGCCCUGUACAGAUUAGAGAUGUAAUGAAGUGAGUUUGUGUGCACAUUAAAAUAUUGAACCUUGUAUGUAAGAUGCUUGCAUGAUUAAAGAAAUGUACUACAAAUCCCACUACUCAAGCAAGACGUUAUUGCAGCGUUAUGUAUGUGCGCAGGUGCUGAGCCAAUAGCGUUCGAAUGUACACAGUAACGGAGCCCUUUCAUUGGUUGAAUGUACUGAACGAACACUCCCUUUACUUAACGAGUCAAUUGAGUCAAAAUGAGACUGAAUGAACUGGUACAUGUUGUUUAUGGCCUAAUAUCCUCUGUGUUGCAACAGUGCAUUAAUUUAAUUGAAUUUUAACUGGUUAAAGGUUAACUUUUGUUAAUAAACUGUAUUUAAAAUAUUCUUUUAAAUACAGUUUUUUUUAUUAAAUCUAUAUCAAAAUGCAUAUCGUUAUCGAUCAAUAUAGAAAAAAAUUAUCGAGUUUACUUUUUUGCCAUAUCGCCCAGCCCUAGCAUAGCGUGUUACCAAUGGUUUGCUUGCUAACUGUGGUCCCAACUGUCUUGAGAUCGUUAACAAGCUUCUUCCACGUAAUUCUGGGCUGAUCUUUAACCUUUCUCAUGAUCAUCUUUACUCCAUUGGGGAAAUCUUGCAGGGAGCUCCAGACCAAGGGCAAUUGAUGGUUAUUUUGUAUUUCUUCUAUUUCCAAAUAAUCGCACCAACAGUUGUCUCCUUCUCACCAAGCUUCUGUCUGUUGCCUAUUCAAGGUUUGUGCAGGUCUACAAUCUUGUCCCUGACAUCCUUUGAAACCUAUUUGGUCUGGACCAUGGUGGUGGAGAGGUUGAAAUGGAAGAUACAGAUUCUGUUGGCAGGCAUCUUUUAUAUACAUAACAAGCUGAUUUAGGAGUACCUUCUUAAAGUGACGGGACUAAUCUGCGGUCCAUAUAGGCACAUAACCAAUCUGUGGAGCCAGAAUUCUUGCUAGUUGGUAGGGGAUCAAAUACUUAUUUCACUGACUGAAAUGCAAAUCAAUUUAUAACCUUUAUAUAAAUUUUUUUCCCCUGAUUUUUUUUAAAUAUUCUGUCUCUAUCAGUUAAAAUAAACCUACCAUAAAAAUUAUAGACCCUUCAUUUCUUUGUAAGCAGGCAAACUUACAAAAACAGCAGGGGAUCAAAUAAUUAUUCCCAUCACUGUAUAUAUAUAUUUUAAAUAGCCUUAUCCGUGUCAUUCUGUGUGGUGCUCUGUGAAGGUGAAGGCAUGACGUUGAGUUGCGUCUACAGUUGUAAAAUAUCAGCUCUUUGUUUCUUUAAAUUAUUUUUUCAGCAUGUCACGACUUGAGUUAAGGUCAUUCUGUACAGCCUCACCCUUUCAUAUCAACUCUAGAACAGUCCACAUGUUUUACGAUUGCCUUUAUCAAUAAUCUGGCUAUUUUUUUCAUGUGUCCUGGCAAACGGUGCAAUAACAGGACUGCUAUUUUAGGGAAAUGCUAGAAGCAGGGCAUAAUGGGGUAGAUGGCGUACCGCAACCAUAACACAUCAAUAGAUUAAACCCAAUACUUUCCAGAUACUAUGAUUCGGUGUUCUAGCUAAAAUUAAAUCAAGAUGUUUCAUUCCUUUUGUCACUAUUCAAGAUAAAGUAUCUUUGUGCACUUCUUAGAGCUAGGCCUGUCGCGAUAGUCGCACACACACACAAUCACACCCAUGUGCAGUCGCACACGGGACGGACAGCGGCAGGUGAAAAGAGUCGAGGAGUUAUAUUGUGUUUUCCUGGUGAAUAAAGCCAGUUCGGAAUACUGUAGUAGGCCUUAAUUGGCUUGGUGUCAAAGCCACAAACCUCCCACUCCGAUAUGAAAACAAAGGAGCGCGUGAGCAAGACGCUCCACUCUUUAAAGGGGCGAUGAAUUAAGACCUCAAUUUUAACAUGAGCUUUUGUUAUAUAAGAGGGAAUCGUAUUCAAGCGAACUGAACUGCGUCAAAGCGUCAGAACUGAAAACGGCCUUGUUACUGAGAUUACAACUGUUAUUGACACCAGGCUCAGCGAACGCCAGGUCCUGGAAUGCACCUAUGGUUGAACACCGCCUCCACAGAAAAACAUCAACGACUACUUCUCUAGCCCCACCCACUGGUUCACGCAUGACAGUGCUGAAGUAACAUAAGUUGCACGGAACCAGAUAGAGCGAGCAAGCAAUAAACAUGCCGUUAAAGAUAGCAAAAUAUUGUGGAGUCAGUGCCUGGUUGUGGAAGAACACAGUCGCUGCAUAACCUUCCUUCGGAUUCCGACAUUAGUAAUGCGUGGUUGAAGUUUAUUUUUAAAGAGGUUACAGCUCACGUGGGUAAAACAUUACCGCGGAUUGCUUUGUGAACAAGGCACAGGUUGACGAUGGAUUUGCGGAGAGACUAAAAUUAAAAAGCAGUGCUGUGCCGUCAAUAUUGGAUCCGAUAGGAAUCACAAUCUUAUGUGAGUACAACAUUUUUGUACAUUGUGUCACUAUUGCUUUAUUAGAGAUUGCUGGAUAUGCCCUGCGUAACUUAACCAUACGUCUCUAACCAAAUUCACAGAAGGCUCCAACUAAGUUUACUACGCAAACUGCUAUCCAAUCAUAGCAGUGGGCGUUUACUUCCAAGUCUUCAUGGCACCCAUUCAAACCGAUUGUUUGUCAAGCCGGCCUCAAAACCCAGGUAGAAAAUAGCCUAUUACUUAUUCAUUUUGAUGUUUUUGAAUGUAAAAACCAUGAGAACGUCAUAAGUAGACCUCAUACAACAGUAUAAAACAAUAAACAAGCCCAGUUCAUCACACCUUUAAAUACGGAGGUAACGGAAAAAGCAAUACAACUGAUUAAAACAAAAGCCGCAUUUGGAGCUCUAGAGAGGUCUUACAGACAGUUAAGUUAAAUAUGUCAUGUCACAUGUAUGAAUACACCUUAGACUAGGGAUGUUAAUGAUUAAUCGACGAUCGAUUAAUUGUUGAUAACAGUUUACUCGAAAUAACUUAAUGAUGAUCGAGUUCAAAGUCAUGCACGCGUGUGGCUUAUGCGCAUAACAAAUACAGCAGACUCAUGGAAAAACGCAAUGGCUAUCCACUUAUUACAUUACUUGGCUACCGACACACCUUAGUUUUGCAUUUUUCUUUUAUAGAAAUAAAAAGAAAGUUCAUUUGAACAAUGGACGCAAUAGUUUGCGAGGUGCACGUCUGUCAGUGGGAGCUGCAGCCCUUGCAGUCGUGAGGCGCAAUGCGAUUGACAGGUCAAGGCGGAGGAGAGCUUUUAUUAAUAAAAGUUUUAUUUCUUCGUUUAAUAUAAGUAGCGUUGUCCUUGUUUUAUUGUUGCAUUUUUAUUUAAAAUAAUAAUAAACCACGAACUGUGUUGAAGUAAGGGGAACAUCAGAAGAUCUUUGAAUUUAUUUACGUUACAAAACAGGUACAAUGUUGUCAGUCUUAUUCAUUUUGUUAAUAAACAUUCUGUUUCAUAUAAGCAAGUUUGUCAGUGUACAAUUUUUUUGUUGUUUAAUUAAAAGUAAAUAAUAAAUGAAUAACUAUUGGUAUCAAAAGAAAAUGUUGUUUUCCUUUGGAUACCAUCCGCAUUUGUUAGUAAAAGUUUACCAUAAGUGCGUUUGUAAUGAUAUUAGGCUAUUUUAUGAUUGUUGAGUUUUUAUAUUCUUUUAUAUGAAUAAUAAUGAAGAAACAUUUUAAGCAUUUUUUGUCAAAGAAAAAAGAUCUAAAGCUGCAGAUCAAAAUAAGCGAUUUAUUCAGGUGAGGAAGAUGGUGUUUUGCGUGACUUUUGUGUGCUGUCAUGCCUACACUCACCUAAAGGAUUAUUAGGAACACCUGUUCAAUUUCUCAUUAAUGCAAUUAUCUAAUCAACCAAUCACAUGGCAGUUGCUUCAAUGCAUUUAGGGGUGUGGUCCUGGUCAAGACAAUCUCCUGAACUCCAAACUGAAUGUCAGAAUGGGAAAGAAAGGUGAUUUAAGCAAUUUUGAGCGUGGCAUGGUUGUUGGUGCCAGACGGGCCGGUCUGAGUAUUUCACAAUCUGCUCAGUUACUGGGAUUUUCACGCACAACCAUUUCUAGGGUUUACAAAGAAUGGUGUGAAAAGGCAAAAACAUCCAGUAUGCGGCAGUCCUGUGGGCGAAAAUGCCUUGUUGAUGCUAGAGGUCAGAGGAGAAUGGGCCGACUGAUUCAAGCUGAUAGAAGAGCAACUUUGACUGAAAUAACCACUCGUUACAACCGAGGUAUGCAGCAAAGCAUUUGUGAAGCCACAACACGCACAACCUUGAGGCAGAUGGGCUACAACAGCAGAAGACCCCACCGGGUACCACUCAUCUCCACUACAAAUAGGAAAAAGAGGCUACAAUUUGCAUGAGCUCACCAAAAUUGGACAGUUGAAGACUGGAAAAAUGUUGCCUGGUCUGAUGAGUCUCGAUUUCUGUUGAGACAUUCAAAUGGUAGAGUCAGAAUUUGGCGUAAACAGAAUGAGAACAUGGAUCCAUCAUGCCUUGUUACCACUGUGCAGGCUGGUGGUGGUGGUGUAAUGGUGUGGGGGAUGUUUUCUUGGUACACUUUAGGCCCCUUAGUGCCAAUUGGGCAUCGUUUAAAUGCCACGGCCUACCUGAGCAUUGUUUCUGACCAUGUCCAUCCCUUUAUGACCACCAUGUACCCAUCCUCUAAUGGCUACUUCCAGCAGGAUAAUGCACCAUGUCACAAAGCUCGAAUCAUUUCAAAUUGGUUUCUUGAACAUGACAAUGAGUUCACUGUACUAGAAUGGCCCCCACAGUCACCAGAUCUCAACCCGAUAGAACAUCUUUGGGAUGUGGUGGAACGGGAGCUU